GACACUUGAGCUAAAAAGGUCAAGGAAAAGUUUUUAAUGGAGAGUUUUAAUGGAGACGGGGAGUAGGGACAUUCAGCAAGCACGGACAUUCAGCAAGCACGGACAUUCAGCAAGCACGGACAGGCAGCACAACACCAAGAGACUUCAAUGACGGAUCUAGGGAGACAGACUGAACGCGGAUGUAUUUACACAGGACAAAUCGAAAUAACAGGAAACAGCUGGGCACAAUCGGGAUUGCACACCUGGUACAUGAGGGAGUGGCACACAGGAGGAUCGGACGAGCAGGGUAUUUGCAUGUCCGGGCACGCCUGACGAGCUCGUGUAUAUGGCCCUUGCUUGAAACUUUAGUGUAGAUACUUCUUGUGCUGUGUACCCGGAUGUCGCGUGCGCCUUUAGGUGUGGUUGUACUCUGUUCCUGCCUGAUCCGCGCGUGUCUUAGCCAUUGCGCAUUACCCGCCGUUUGUGCGCCUUACUGUCCUUAGUGUAACUUCCCCGUGUUUUCCUGUCGUUCAUGGCUUUCGUGUUAAUGCUUGUUGCGUGGUCCUCUUAUGGAGUAAAAUAAAGAACCACUUCGGCAUUAGCCAGCCAGAAGCAGACGGGUUACCACAAGGCAAAGUAGGCAUAUCAAGGAAACGCAGGCCUGAGGAGUCCCGCUGGGUAUCUAUUACAGCUGUGUCUCACUGUAAGAUGGCUUUAAUGGCGGCCCUGUUGGAAGUUGGGAGCUUAAUAUGGACUGUCUAUGACAACAAAAACCAGAAUCGUGUUCAAGCACUGGAGAGACAAAUCGUCGCAUAUCGACGUCUUGUUUGGCUGCUGAUUUUUAUCUUAAUCCUGCUUGUCAUCUACAUUUUCUGGUGGAAACAUUGACAUCCACCACUGGCAGUGAUGCCUGGGUACCAGGAGCAGCGGGAGAGAUACCAAUCACUAAACAGAGAAUUUUUCAUUAUUGAAACAAGAUGGUGAAAUUCCUUUGCAUUAAAAAGUGUACAUUACCUUUAUGGCACUUGAGCUGGAAAUGUAAUGAAAAUGUUUGGACUGUGAAGAUCUGACCAGUAGCGACAAAGUUUUCAAAGAUGGGGACGGAGACGUUAAUGAAGAUGAGUGGAUCUGCUUAGGUGUCUAAAGUGCAUGAAGCCAUGUGUAGUAACUUUUAAUACAUCAUUUAGUAAAUGAUUUAUCCAUGAGAAUAUUUUUUAAUGUACUGUACUGUUUAUUCAGUGAACUGGAUGCUCACUGAACCCCGUCUGAUUGAGACCAUUAAACUACAACAUCAACAUCUCAGACCAACUUUCAGUGUCAGAUCCAGCUUCCAAAAUGUCAUUGCACACUGUUGCUUGGCUGACAAAGGUUUUUCAGCAUUCAAGGUUAUCUGGGCUCACUGGCAUCCCAAAGGCAUCGUCCAGGUGAUCGCCAUGGCAGCAGAAUCCCAGACCGGAGACUCUGACACAUCUGGGUUUUGCCCCUUGAGAGAAUCAGGAUAUAUGAACUUUGACUCCUUCCAAGAUGCAUCAGCUGUUCACAACCCAUGGAAACUCUAACUCUGGCCAAAGAACUUUUUAGUUAGAAAUCUACGCUAAGGUGACAAAGUUAACAAAAUUUGGUUUGUUCAUAGGAUUGUAAUGUUUAUACAUAAGUUUGACUGUAAAUUGCACGCUGGAAGGGUUCAUAUCUCCCACUUCAUAGGCUGUAGGUAAUUGAAGGCUUUUUCGGGUAGAAAUGCAUACUAAAUAAAACAUCUUUUUGAUCUUACUGAAAAGUAACUUAAAGUGACCUUUUUUGAUCCGUCGUGUGACCAUAACUGAGCUGAAUGAAAGUGAUACUAGUUUUAGCCUCUGUUAUAAAGCAUUUCCAGAUGCUUGCUUGAGGUUUUAAAAGACAUUUGUAAUAAGUAGAAAUGGGGCCACGUCAUCAUUUAAUUGUAACUAUAGUAACAAAUAGCUGUGAUUUACUUUUUAAAUAGAGAUAAGGAACUAUUUUGUACUGAAGUGUUUGCUAUUGUAUUUUACCCAUACAUCACAUAUCCUAGUUUGAAGUUAUGUAUGUUUUGGUGAGUUUAUGAUGGAGCUGCUGGGAUGGUAAUGCUUAUGUUAACUUUUCUUUUUAAUAUCGCUUUUUAAUUAUUGUAAUUAAUUAAUUAGUUGUAAACCUUUUGUCCCAGAAUAUGUAAUACAAGAACUAAUGUAUCUCAAAUAAAUUGACUUAAAAAACUGAA